UCUCUGAAUUACUUCUAAGUAAAAGCAUUGUUUAAGUAAUCGGUGAUCAUCGAUAGAUAUGACUACCAGUAAAUGUACGUGUUAACCAUCGGAAUUCAUAAUUUGUAAUUUGAUUUCCAUAACCCUUACAGCACGUGCAAGAAGUAGUUUCUGCAAGAUAAAAAUGGAGGUGGCGUGAUAUGAAAUUUUUAGAUGGCUACCAGCAUUUGUCGUGAAAC